rnacentral:lncRNA from 1 species
CACAGAUGGUCCCAACAAGCAGAAACCAUGCAUCCGCCGCCAAAUGCAAACAUUGCUCCAUAAUCGUCGUCUCACACUCCUCUCUCCCUAACUCCUCCAAUUGGUGGCCUGACGCAACCUCCGGCUGGCGUUUGCCUUCCUCGAGGCCACCUUCCCAUCUUUCUCCAUCAAUGUCCUAACGACCAACUUGAGGAUAUAAUACCCAGCCACGGCCUCCCUCCACCAUCCGCACCAUCCCAAUGGCCUCACACACUUGUCAGAGAUAAUCUGAUUUACUACGCCCUCCAUCCAGAAAUAUAAGGUCAAAUCCUAAAUGUGAUAUUUCGAAAAAAUACAAGACCUUGAGUUAAAGUGUUACCUGCCCUCUCGCAUCCCUAGCACAAAAAACUCCUUGUAACUCGUAUAUUAAUUGCAGAUUGGCGUGCAUGCAUGCAUAACUUAAUUGCUCAUUGUUGCGAGAGAAAAUCGAGCACUACCAUUGGCUAAACCAAAAACAAAAAAAAUCUAACUGCCGCGCGCUAGUCAUGAGGAUUUUCAUUUUCCUUCGUUCAUGUGAUCAUCAGAAUGGGGCUUGUAUUUUCGGAUGGAGAGAGUAUGUUCGAUUAACCGAGGAAAUAUGAUGUUAUUGAGUAUAUUUCAAGUUUGUACUAGAAUUGAACUAUUUUUCAUAUUUAGAAUGUGGGUAUAGACGUAUAGCAGUCCAGAAU